rnacentral:rRNA from 1 species
ACUCAAAUGAAUUGACGGGGGCCCGCACAAGCGGUGGAUCAUGUGGUUUAAUUCGAAGCAACGCGAAGAACCUUACCUGGGUUUGACAUCCUUCGACAAACGUAGAGAUACGUCUUUUGUAGCAAUACAACGGAGUGACAGGUGCUGCAUGGCUGUCGUCAGCUCGUGUGGUGACAUGUUGGGUUAAGUCCCGCAACGAGCGCAACCCUUGUCUUUAGUUGCCAGCAUUCAGUUGGGCACUCUAAAGAGACUGCCGUGGUUAACACGGAGGAAGGUGGGGAUGACGUCAAGUCCUCAUGGCCCUUAUGCCCAGGGCGACACACGUGAUACAAUGGUCGGUACAGAGGGAAGCCAACCCGCAAGGGGGAGCUAAUCUCAAAAAGCCGAUCUCAGUUCGGAUUGGAGUCUGCAACUCGACUCCAUGAAGUUGGAAUCGCUAGUAAUCGCGGAUCAGCACGCCGCGGUGAAUACGUUCCCGGGCCUUGUACACACCGCCCGU